AUGCCCAUAGAACACGAAGACCAGGGGAUGAAUUUAUGUAAAAUGUCAAUAUUUAUCCUUGGAAUGGCGUAUACAAAUGAGGCACGGUCAGCGGAUCAACUGUCAAGACGAACCAGGGCUGCUGCAGCUACAAUUAAUGCGACAGCACCUGAUAAAAGGAUAAUGGACGGCGCGAUACAGGCUACAUUAUGGCAGACUGUAGAUUACCCUCCUAUAAUCGACGAGGCCCUAGGGACUAUAUUAUGCAUACUCCCAAAUGGCACGUAUAACCCGGAUGCUCCCAUUGCUGCGUUGGCCAGCAUCGACCACCUUCAAGCAAACUAUCAUCUGUCUCAAGUAGCUAGUGCCUUGCUGGAUCAGGCCAGGUUGAUAUACCUCAAUCACCAUGCCACGUCAAUAAACUUCAUACCUGCGUUGAUUCCGGCCCUGCAGGAAGCGGGUCAUCUGAAUCACGCUUACCUAGUUGAAGAGCUCGCACAUUACCAGUCAAUCCAAGAGUCUUUAAACUCGUCCCCAUACAACGGGCUGCGGGCUAACAUCCCCGAUAAGUACCAGAUCCGGUCUAUGCCGCGCCUAGUCUAUGGAGCGAUACUCUACUACAAGGAGUCUCUUGAAACUGAAGACGAGCGGCGAUUGUUUGAAGAGUACAAAACGAAAGAGAUAAAAAACCACAUCACCCAAAAAGACGUGCAGGUCUUUGGAGAAAAUUUGAUCACUACACUACCGAAACCCUCCCUGACCACUGUGGUCAACCUAGUGGCCAAAUUGUCAAUUGAAAGGGCACGAGUCCUCCUAGCCUCUAAGACCCCUGAAUUUAGGGACACAGUUUUAGAAAUGUUACGAAGUCAUCAGCACCCAGGACCCUGGGCAACCGAGAUCAUAGAAAGGGAGGAUGCGGAAGUUCAACGCACGUUAGUCAAGGAGGCCAAGGACUUACUGCGAGCCAAAUUGGAUGUUAAAUACAACCACCUUAGACAAGGAGUGGAGUUACUAAUGGAUAAAGAACGGGCUCACAGCCUCCAAGUGUGA
rnacentral:lncRNA from 1 species